ACGAGAACGGGUUUAGUUUACUAAACUGUCAGCUAAGUGGCGCACGGGUGAGUAAUGUAUAGUUAACCUGCCCUCUAGAAAGGAAUAACAGUUGGAAACGACUGCUAAUGCCCUAUAUGCCCAUAAUACAUAAGUAUGCUGGGGAAACGCUUUAGUGCUAGAGGAUGGGACUGUAUGGUAUCAGAUAGUUGGUGAGGUAAUGGCUCACCAAGUCAAUGACGCCUAACUGGUUUGAGAGGAUGAUCAGUCACACUGGAACUGAGACACGGUCCAGACUCCUACGGGAGGCAGCAGUGGGGAAUAUUGCACAAUGGAGGAAACUCUGAUGCAGCAACGCCGCGUGGAGGAUGACACUUUUCGGAGCGUAAACUCCUUUUAUAUAGGAAGAUAAUGACGGUACUAUAUGAAUAAGCACCGGCUAACUCCGUGCCAGCAGCCGCGGUAAUACGGAGGGUGCAAGCGUUACUCGGAAUCACUGGGCGUAAAGAGCGUGUAGGCGGGUUAUUAAGUCAGAAGUGAAAUCCUAUGGCUCAACCAUAGAACUGCUUUUGAAACUGGUAACCUAGAGUAUGGGAGAGGUAGAUGGAAUUUCUGGUGUAGGGGUAAAAUCCGUAGAGAUCAGAAGGAAUACCGAUUGCGAA
rnacentral:rRNA from 1 species